AGUCGAGCGAGCUUGCUAUUGAAAUUCUUCGGAAUGGACAUAGAUACAAGCUAGCGGCGGAUGGGUGAGUAACGCGUGGGUAACCUGCCCUUAAGUCUGGGAUACCAUUUGGAAACAGAUGCUAAUACCGGAUAAAAGCUACUUUCGCAUAAAAGAAGUUUAAAAGGCGGCGUAAGCUGUCGCUAAAGGAUGGACCUGCGAUGCAUUAGCUAGUUGGUAAGGUAACGGCUUACCAAGGCGAUGAUGCAUAGCCGAGUUGAGAGACUGAUCGGCCACAUUGGGACUGAGACACGGCCCAAACUCCUACGGGAGGCAGCAGUAGGGAAUCUUCCACAAUGGACGCAAGUCUGAUGGAGCAACGCCGCGUGAGUGAAGAAGGUUUUCGGAUCGUAAAGCUCUGUUGUUGGUGAAGAAGGAUAGAGGUAGUAACUGGCCUUUAUUUGACGGUAAUCAACCAGAAAGUCACGGCUAACUACGUGCCAGCAGCCGCGGUAAUACGUAGGUGGCAAGCGUUGUCCGGAUUUAUUGGGCGUAAAGCGAGCGCAGGCGGAUUGAUAAGUCUGAUGUGAAAGCCUUCGGCUCAACCGAAGAACUGCAUCAGAAACUGUCAAUCUUGAGUGCAGAAGAGGAGAGUGGAACUCCAUGUGUAGCGGUGGAAUGCGUAGAUAUAUGGAAGAACACCAGUGGCGAAGGCGGCUCUCUGGUCUGUAACUGACGCUGAGGCUCGAAAGCAUGGGUAGCGAACAGGAUUAGAUACCCUGGUAGUCCAUGCCGUAAACGAUGAGUGCUUAGUGUUGGGAGGUUUC
rnacentral:rRNA from 1 species